rnacentral:lncRNA from 1 species
AGAUGACCCUUGAGCGGCGACGCGUUCAGCUGAGAUGCGUCACUCACGUGGAACUCAACAGUGACACGCCUUGGCUAAAUGCGUCACUAAUGACAAUUUACAAAAACAAAAAAAAGAAAAUUCUCCAUCAUGUUCCGUUAUGCAUUACAAAUAUUUCAUCCGUUUCAGCAAUCAAAUUCUUUACAAAACUUCAGAUAUAACUCAUCUACAGAGCAUCUACUCGAGUUGUUGCAGCCUAGAAGAUUUCUAAUAACACAUGAGUAGCAACAUAGAAGAUGUCUAACAGUACAUAAGCUGUAACUACAUUGAGUAUAAGGUGUUCUUGUGAUCCUGCAAAACCAUUAUAAACCAAAGUACAAAUUUAGAAGUGCCAACAGCAGAGAAUCUAUAAUAAGCUAUAAGCAAUAAGGUUUACAACUGACAAUGUUCAGAAAGGACGACAUGCAGCAGCUCUCUUGC